rnacentral:rRNA from 1 species
GAUGAACGCUGGCGGCGUGCCUAAUACAUGCAAGUCGAGCGAACGGACGAGAAGCUUGCUUCUCUGAUGUUAGCGGCGGACGGGUGAGUAACACGUGGAUAACCUACCUAUAAGACUGGGAUAACUUCGGGAAACCGGAGCUAAUACCGGAUAAUAUUUUGAACCGCAUGGUUCAAAAGUGAAAGACGGUCUUGCUGUCACUUAUAGAUGGAUCCGCGCUGCAUUAGCUAGUUGGUAAGGUAACGGCUUACCAAGGCAACGAUGCAUAGCCGACCUGAGAGGGUGAUCGGCCACACUGGAACGUAGACACGGUCCAGACUCCUACGGGAGGCAGCAGUAGGGAAUCUGCCGCAAUGGGCGAAAGCCUGACGGAGCAGCGCCGCGUGAGUGAUGAAGGUCUUCGGAUCGUAAAACUCUGUUAUUAGGGAAGAACAUAUGUGUAAGUAACUGUGCACAUCGUGACGGUACCUAAUCAGAAAGCCACGGCUAACUACGUG